AUAAAUCCCAAAAUUGGCGUUACAAAAAUGAAUCAGAAUCACAAAGAAUUGGAAUCUACACCGAGAAUCACAAGAAAAAGAACACUCAACAGUGACAAUAUUAAUGUCACUUCUAAUAGAAUUAGAAAGCCACUCUCAGAUUGCAUAAACAUUAUUAAUUCCACAAACCCAUCUCAAUCUUCAUCCACUUCAACUAAGAAUUCAACUUCGAUUGCCAAACCUACUCAAAUUCUGAGUAAAAACAAAGUAAAAUCCCAAAACGAGAAUAAUUUACCAAACCCUAGUGUCGUUUUGGUGGAUUCGGUAUCUACGCCUUCUCGGACUCCGAAACCGGCUUCUGAUAAGGGUGCUGAUAAUGCUAAUCGUGAGGUUCUCGAGCCGCGAUCAGUUUACGGUAGAAGACAGUCUGCAGAUAAGAGGAAGGGCAAGCAGAAGGCAAUUGCUGAGCCUAUGAGUUGCUUUCCCGCUUUAAAAACUCAAGUUACUAGGGAUGAAGUUAAUGAAUACAGGCUUCCCAGUUUAUCCAAAUCUUGUGUGCUACCUAACAAAAAGAAGCAACGUCGAGUAUCCUCUAAGGAAGAUGAUGCCAAGUAUUCUUUGCCCCAGGACUUUAUCGAGCAACAAAGAGCUUACUUUGCAGAAAUUGAUGCGUUUGAACUCUCAGAGGAGGAAGUUGCUUCAAUUGAUGAGUUGGACUGAGCAAACGUGAAAUGGAGUGUAUAAUUCAGGAUGGUCUGAAGAAGGCAAUCUAACCUUGAAGUUUUCCCUGUAAAGUUCAGAGUAAUUUUCCAAUAUACUCGGGUUAUAACCAGCUAACCACCACAUAUAAUAUAAAUAUCCGUUAUGUUGUAGUCGAAUGUACAUGAAGAAAUGAUAAAUUGUUUCGUCUUGUAGGAAAGUAAGAAAAUGGAUUACUAGCAUAUUGUACAUUGAGAGAAUCAGAAGACCUGUCGUUGUCAAGUUCUUGGUCUGAAUGAAGCCGGCCUUUUUUGUUCAGCAUGUUCUUAUAGUAGAGACUAUUAGAAGGCGUUGGAGUUUGACGAUCGAGUGCGAAUCUGCCAUAUGUCCAGGUAUGUGAUCAAUUUAGUAGCUCAAAUUAUAGGGAUAAUGUGGUUUAUAAUAUUGGCUUGAGAAAUGGAAUAUGAAUUUUAUUC